rnacentral:rRNA from 1 species
GACGAACGCUGGCGGCGUGCCUAAUACAUGCAAGUGGGACGCAAGGAAACACACUGUGCUUGCACACCGUGUUUUCUUGAGUCGCGAACGGGUGAGUAACGCGUAGGUAACCUGCCUAUUAGCGGGGGAUAACUAUUGGAAACGAUAGCUAAUACCGCAUAAUAUUAAUUAUUGCAUGAUAAUUGAUUGAAAGAUGCAAGCGCAUCACUAGUAGAUGGACCUGCGUUGUAUUAGCUAGUUGGUAAGGUAAGAGCUUACCAAGGCGACGAUACAUAGCCGACCGGGGAGGGUGGUCGGCCAAACUGGGACUGAGACACGGCCCAGACUCCUACGGGAGGCAGCAGUAGGGAAUCUUCGGCAAUGGACGAAAGUCUGACCGAGCAACGCCGCGUGAGUGAAGAAGGUUUUCGGAUCGUAAAGCUCUGUUGUAAGUCAAGAACGUGUGUGAGAGUGGAAAGUUCACACAGUGACGGUAGCUGACCAGAAAGGGACGGCUAACUACGUG